GGCUAAUUUGGUGCUUUAGUUUAGUGUUCUUUAGUGUAUGCAGGAAAAUAAUUGCACAGGGAGCACAAGCUCAUCUAAACUUCUUUUUACAAGUUUGGAAGUAGAAAAGACUGUUGAGAUUGUUGACAACACAAACUCUAUAUCAAACUAGUUUUUGAUGAUGACAACACAAUGCUUAAUAACAGUACACAUGUUGCUGCAUUACAUGUUCGUAUUCUGAUUAAACUGUCAUAUAUGUUGAACAUGUUUUGAUGUACUGUGAUGUAUGUUCCUAUGAUUGAUUGUGUGAUAU
rnacentral:lncRNA from 1 species